rnacentral:lncRNA from 1 species
UGCAAUGACACAAUCUUGGCUCACUGCAAAGUCUGCCUCCCUGGGUCAAGCAAUUCUGCCUCAGCCUCCCUAGUAACUGGGACUACAGGUGCGUGCCAUCACGCCCAGCUACUUUUUGUAUUUUUGGUAGAGACAGGGUUUCACCAUGUUGGCCAGGCUGGUCUCAAACUCCUACCCUCAAGUGAUCCACCCACCUCGGCCUCCCAAAGUGCUGGGAUUACAAGCGUGAGCCACCGCGCCUGGCCUCCAGUGAAAAAUUUAAAAAGGAUACAAGCUCAUACUUGACGAAGUAUUCAACUAUGUAGUAAAAUCACCAUGAUUUUAUCCUGAUUUGCACCUUGAGAAUUAAAAUAGUCACUUGAUUAGAAGGGAAUUAUCAAAUAACCAAAGGAAAAACAUUUUGCUGGGCUGUUACAGAGAUAAUCCUGAAUAUUUGGAAAGGGGAAUUAGAAUGAUCUCUUACUUUAAGAAUUUCUGAACCAAACACCGCAUGUUCUCACUCAUAGGUGGGAAUUGAACAAAGAGAACACAUGGACACAGUAAGGGGAACAUCACACUCUGGGGACUGUUGUGGGGUGGGGGGAGGGGGGCGGGAUAGCAUUAGGAGAUAUACCUAAUGCUAAAUGACGAGUUAGUGGGUGCAGCACACGAGCAUGGCACAUGUAUACAUAUGUAACUAACCUGCACAUUGUGCACAUGUACCCUAAAACUUAAAGUAUAAUAAUAAUUUAAAAAAAAAAAAAGAAUUUCUGGGCCAGGUGCGGUGGCUCACGCCUGUAAUCCUAGCACUUUGGGAAGCCAAGGUGGGUGGAUCACAAGGUCAAGAGUUCAAGACCAACCUGGCCAACAUGGUGAAACCCCAUCUCUACUAAGAAUACAAAAAUUAGCCAGGCGCGGUGGUGUGUGCCUAUAAUCCCAGCUACUCGGGAGGCUGAGGCAGAAUCGCUUGAACUCGGAAAAUGGAGGUUGCAGUGAGCCGAGAUCACACCACUGCACUCCCGCCUGAGCGACAGAGCAAGACGCCGUCUUGAAAAAAAAAAAAAAAAUUUCUGAGUUGGGGUGAGAAAUCUCCCUGAGUAUUUCUAGGCUCUUCGCUCAUGUUUUUGAGGGCUUCACUUGAUAAUGACCAUGGGAAGAAUCUGGGGUGCAAAGUUCCACGUGCAUUAGCCGAAAUUAUUCAUUCAACUAGAAAGACAAUUUUGCAUCCACUAAUACAUAAAAAUCAGAAAGGAGAAUUGGGAAAAAGCAUAUUCUUAGAAUAACAUUUAGCAUCCACCAAAGUGAAGGACAUAGGUUUCUGGCACAGUUGAAACCUUAGUUGGAAAACCAAACCUUGGCACAGUGCCAAUUAUUUAUCUUUUGAUCAGGACAUUUGAAAUAGGCAGAGACCACCAAAAAAGGACAAAGUAUUGAAAAGUAGCUGCUCAUUUUUUACUGCCAAUAUUCCUGAACUUUAAAGAAUAUCACACCUAAUCAACCGCAAUAGAAUUGGGCAUUCAGACUUGAUUCUUAGAUGAAUUUCCAAUAAUUUUUAAAUCAUUGAUCUGGCUUGGUAAAUAGCUCUCCAAACUUCUACAGCUAAUGGAAAAAUCACUUAACCUUUACUAGAAGUAACAGAAAGCAUUAAAGUUGAAACCUAAUGCAGCAGUUCUUUCCAGUGAGUUGAACUGCCUUAGCAGAAAUCUUCCCAUUGAGAUACAGGCUUUAUUUUUAUUAUUAUAUUUUUGGAGACAGUGUCUCACUCUGUCACCCAGGCUGGACUCACAACUCACUGCAGCCUCAAACUCCUGGGCUCAAGUGAUCCUUCCAGCUCAGCCUCCUGAGUAGCUACAGGCAUAUGUCACCAUACCCAGCUAAUUUUUUUCAUUAUUUUAUUUAAUUUUAUUUUUUAGACUCGCUCUGUCGCCCAGGCCAGAGUGCAGUGGCGCAAUCUCUGCUCACUGCAACCUCUGCCUCCCGGGUUCAAGCGAUUCUCCUGCCUCAGCCUCCUGAGUAGCUGGGACUACAGGUGUGCACCACCACGUCCAGCUAAUUUUUUGUAUUUUUAGUAGAGAUGGGGUUUCACCAUGUUGGCCAGGCUGGUCUCAAACUCCUGACCUUGUGAUCUGCCCACCUUGGCCUCCCAAAGUGCUGGGAUUACAGGUGUGAGCCACCAUGCCCAGCCUAUUUUUUUAUUUAUUUUUUGAAGGGACAGGGUCUCGCUGUGUUGCCAGAGUUGGUCUUGAACUUCCUGGGCUCAACUGAUCCUCCUGCCUCAGCCUUCCAAAAUGCUGGUAUUACAGGUGUGUGGCACUGCACCUGGCCAGCUUUAUUUUAAGGCACUAAUAAUAAAGGGUAUGAAAAAAGCUAGGAAUAAGUCAGAUCUUUCCAGAAAUAAAAGACAAUUUUAAAAAACAUCAGUUAACCUGUCUGGCCUAUUUCAACAUCUAAAGAGGAUAGAGAAUGUAAAAGUUUUCAUGCCUACCUGAUUCAGCUCUUUUCCAUUCUCCCAAACACUUAUUUCCAUGUCUCAGAUUUACAUUUCCUCAAAAGGCAGUAGAGAUUUGGAAACAACAACAACAACAACAACAACAACAACAAAACCACCCCAAAACAAGCAAGCCUAGUUUGUAGCCUAGUCUCAUGAUUAAUGAAUUCCCUAAUGCUGGCAUUUAGCCCACAUACUGAGAGGCCGGAACUGUAACAAGGUGCUCUUUUCUAGUGUUGUAAGGGGAAAAUGUAUAAGGAAAAUUAAUUUUUCAUAAUCAGGUAAAUAUAAUUUGUUAAUAGCAAAACAAGAAAUUCCGGAGAGAAAAAAGAUUUACUCUGAAACACCAGUUCCAGCAGGAUUUCCCUACACCUUCCAACGUAUUCUACUUUGCCAUGAGAAAAAAACUAAAUAAAUAAAAUGGGGUUCAAGUCAGUUAGGCGAGCAAACACCAAAAAACGAGUGAUUUCAUUGUGGAGGUAGGCAUGAUGGGGCAGGAUUUCCCUCAAGUGGAAAUGCUUCCUGUGCACACACACGUAUACAUGCACACACAAACCUGUACACUCACACUAAUUUCAAAAGCAUGGAUGUGGGGAAAGCCCUGCCAGCAUGACUAGACAUGAGGAGUUAGCCCAUCUGCCUGUAUCUCUACACAGGCUCUGACGUACAUUCCACACCCAUAGACAGUCAUGCACGAGAGCCAGCCUGGCUUGCACACAGACUGAGAAUCAGAUCUGGAGACUCCUAGAGCUGCUGCUUCUACAGGAAUUAUUAGUAACUGCAGGAUUAUACUUCCUGUUGAUGUGCAGGGUUUUUAUCUUGCUCUUCUUUCCAGACAUCUCCCCUUUUCAAGAGUACUAAAUCUUGAUUUAGUGGAGGGACUAAUCUUGAUUCUUCGAUGGGCAUGACUUAGAACAGGAGCUACAGGAAUUAAAACUAGCAACAAUAGGGCCCCUUUGGGAUUGGGGUGAAGAAGUAUUUCAGGAUUUAAACAGUUUCUGUGGGUGGGGCGGGGGGAAAGCAGAGUUCUUGGUGGAAGUGGAUGACCUCUGUGAAGGAGAUGAAAAUGCCUCCAAGUCCAGAAAUCAAUAUAAACAAACAAACAAACAAACAAAAAUGAACAUAACUUAAAGGGGCUUCAACUAAAUAUCACUGCAACUGAGUUUGUUGACUCAAGAAAUUCUGCUCUGACGCAGGGAAUUGAAAUAUAAGAACUGAUAAUAUUUCUUCUUCAGAAGGCUAAGCUGGGAGUGAGCCAUACUGCUCUUGGAG